rnacentral:lncRNA from 1 species
CCCAUACUGGAUGCUUCCUGCCCUUGAACAUCAGACUCCAUGUUUUUCAGUUUUGGGACUCAGACUGGCUUCCUUGCUCCUCCGCUUGCAGACAGCCUAUUGUGAGACCUUCUGAUCAUCCUUCAUUCUCCAGUGCAUGAAUCCAGGAGAAAUUUCAACUUCCAAGUCUUGUUCUUUAAGGAAUACAUUUCCUAAGGCUAUAGCUGCCAUAGACAGUGAUUCCUCUGAUGCAUCUGGGGAAAGUAAAUUGAAACCAUUCUGGAAGGAAUUCACCAUUCUAGAUGUCAUUAAGAACAUUCGUGAUUCAUGAGAGAAGGUCAAAAUAACAACAUUAGCAAGAAUUUGGAAGAAGUUGAUUCCAACCCUCAUGGAUAACUUUGAGGAAUUCAAUAUUUCAGUGGAGGAAGUAACUGCAAAUGUGGAAACAGCAAGAGAACUCAAAUUAGAAGUGGAGGUCAGGUGCGGUGGCUCACACCUGUAAUCCCAGGACUUUAGGAGGGUGAGGCAGAUGGAUCACCUGAGGUCAGGAGUUCGAGACUAGCCUGACCAACAUAGUGAAACCCCAUCUCUACUAAAAAUACAAAAAUUGGCUGGAUGUGAUGGUGGACACCUGUAAUCCCAGCUACUCAGGAGGCUGAGGCAGGAGAAUCACUUGAACCCAGGAGGCGGAGGUUUGCAGUGAGCUGAGAUCAUGCCAUUGCACUCCAGCUUGGGGGACAAGAGUGAAGCUUUGUCUCAAAAAAAAAAAAAAUUAGAAGUGGAGCUGGAAAAUGUAACUGAAUUGCUGCAAUCUCAUGAUAAAACUUUAAUGAACAAAGAGUAGUUUACUGAGUUUAUUGAGGUGGAAUCUAUUCCCGAUGAAGAUGCUGUGAACAUUGUUGAAAUGACAACAAAAGAUUUAGAAUAUUUCAUAAACUUAGUUGAUAAAGCAAUGACAAGAUUUGAGAAGACCGACUUCAAUUUUAAAAGUAUUGUAGGUAAAAUGCUAUCAAACAGCAUUUCAAGUUACAGAAAAAUCAUUCAGGAAAUUAAGAGUCAAUCCAUGCAGCAAACUUCAUUGUUGUCUUAUUUUAAGGAAUGGCUACAGCCACUCUACACUUCUGCAGUCACCACCCUGAACAGUCUGUAGCCAUCAACAUCGAGGCAAGACCUACCAUGAAAAAUAUUAUAACUUGCUAAAGUCGAGAUUAUUAUCAGCAUUUUUAGCAAUAAAAUAUUUUUGCACAAAAUCUGUACCUUGUUUUCUAGACAUAAUGAC